rnacentral:misc_RNA from 1 species
UAGUAAACUAUUCAGCCUUCAUACUGGAAUUGGACGAAUUAUCAAAAUUUCCACGGAAUAUUCUGAAACAUGGCACGCCAAGAAAGAGAGCUAACAGCAAGCAGGUGCUAAGGGGAACCCGUUGUCAGGCUUGCCAUCCGGAACAAAUCAAAAACACGGGACAGUCUUGCCCAAAACUUGAUUCAGGAGCGUUCAAUAGUUCUACAAUUCCACGCAAGAGCAGCGAGUCAAGUACGACCAGCAAGGGCAGUACUCGCGCAGGCAGUAUCCAUGCUUGGACCAAAUCCUUAACGAGGCACUCGUCCAAGUCGUCAGGUGGUGGCGGACACAAGCGAACAUCAUCGACCGCUUCGUCGACCUCUUGCGAAUUGGGGGAGGAGGCCACCCAGGUACUGAUCGACGCGGGUACCUCCUCCCCUACAGUCACUUGUUCUCAACCUACGCCUAUACCCAAAAAGAAUGCUGACACAUCGACACUUCCACCAAUCAAAGGCAGUGUGCCUACGCCCGACGCACUGUCUUCGGUCUUCGACAAAAUCGACAACAUCGAAUUCAUAGAUCAAGUAACCCCUUCCGAUAUCAACAAUCUGAACUACAAGGGUUACCACACUAUCGAUACCAAUCAGGAAAACAUCGUAAAAACGUCACCUGGUGACGAUGAGGUCUUCAAGACACUACCUGGCAAGCAACAGAAAUCAAAAGUCAGGACAAAAGCGAACGGUAAUAAAAAGAAAACCAAGAAGGAUAAGGUAAAGCCCAUUGUCAGUAUGGAACUAUCGUCCGAGAGUUCCGACUUUACUGAGGGCAUUAAAAAAUCGGAUGGGACUGGAAAGUUGGGAGGGAAGGAGAAGACACCACAGAAGGAGAAUAUUACAACUGUUCGUAGUACUACCACGGAAACCGAAACUACUAAAGUUGUCACCACAACCACAAGCUUAAAUAGGUAUACCUUUAUGAAAAUUAUGGAUGAGGACAAUUCAAUAAAAGAAGACAAGAAGAUAAGAACACACAGCUGCAGUAGUAUUCCAUAUGAUAACAUUAUAGAAAACUUGGCGCCGUUCAGGAAAAGGUUCUGCAACAUACAGUUGUUCAGAAAAGAUGAAGAAGAAAAGGAGGAGAAAGAAAAAGAAGAUGAACCUGAUGUUCGAAAGAAAGGGAAGUUCAAGCGCAGGUGGUGGUCAAAAGAUCGACUACUUAAUAAAACUAAAUUCUCAGAAAACACCAUUCCGACCAGAUCUGAAAUCCAGCCUGUAGUCGAAUCGAUCCUCGAUACUAUCCUCGACAUGGCAGUAGAAAUAAUCGACAAAAACCAACUCCGCCUAGACACACUCCGCGACAAACCGGACCACCGUCACAUCGAACUCACACGUCUGGUUCCAGAAUAUAAAAGCCGCAUAAGAUGCAAUACUGCCGAUACCAUAACGUCACUUUACGUGCCCAAAAUCAUGCAAACACCUUCGAGUGACAAUCUUAUCGACGUUAAGAAAUUCGUAGAAGAAUACGAGGAGUACCAUGACUCGUGUUCGGAGAUACAAGAUGCGGAAAUAGCCAUAGGACAGGUAAUGAACGAAUUAAGUACAAAAGUUGAUAGAAUGAUCAUCGAAAAGCAGAAAAACAAAAAGAGGAAAGACAAAUCGGUGAAGCAUGGCGGUGUUAUAAGUCUCAUCCCGAUCGAGACGGAUUCAAACGCCGAAGAUGAUUCUGAGAUCGUUCAAAAUGACAAACGAUUAUUGGAAAUCGGGACGAAAUACAACAUCCCGAAAAAUUUGUUUUUGAGCACCGAAAUGACAGAAAUAACGGAACAGACCAUCGAUGAGUUGCAUAGAAAUGAUGAAAACGCGGAGAAUAAUCCGGAUAUGGUCGAACAGAGUGUCGUGGUGGUGAAUUUAUCAAAGGAGGGAAAAGUCGAAGAUGACGAUGAUGUUUACAAACCGAUUGCCGUCAGUCCUGACGGAAGAGUCUUCAAAUAUGAAGAAGAGAUCGGUAGAGGUUCUUUCAAAACCGUAUACAGAGGCCUUGAUACACAGACUGGCGUUGCAGUUGCUUGGUGUGAAUUACAGGAAAAGAAACUAAAUAAGACUGAGCGACAAAGAUUUAGGGAAGAAGCGGAGAUGUUGAAGAAGCUUCAACAUCCCAACAUUGUGAGAUUUUAUAAUUACUGGGAAUCCCCGGGCAGUAAGAAGAAGAAUAUAGUACUGGUUACGGAACUCAUGUUGAGUGGUACAUUAAAAGCUUAUUUAAGAAGAUUCAAGAAAAUCAACCCAAAAGUAUUGAAAUCUUGGUGCAGACAGAUCCUAAAAGGUUUGGCCUUCCUGCAUUCAAGAUCGCCGCCAAUCAUCCACAGAGAUUUGAAAUGUGAUAACAUUUUUAUAACUGGAGGAACAGGGUCUGUAAAGAUUGGCGAUUUGGGUCUAGCAACGUUGAAGAACAGAAGUUUUGCUAAAUCGGUAAUUGGUACUCCUGAAUUUAUGGCACCUGAAAUGUAUGAAGAACACUACGAUGAGGGUGUGGAUGUCUAUGCAUUUGGAAUGUGUAUGUUGGAGAUGGCUACCAGUGAAUAUCCAUAUUCAGAAUGUACAGGACCAGCUCAAAUAUACAAGAAAGUCAUUUCUGGCAUCAAACCUGCCAGUUUCGACAAAGUUCAGAAUCCCGAAAUUAAGGACGUUAUAGAAAGUUGCAUCAGGCCUAGGAAAGAAGACAGGCCUAAAGUCAAAGAUCUCCUUAACCACGCCUUCUUCGAAGAGGACGUGGGGUUGAAAGUCGAGGUGGUUUCACAAGAGGGCAAGAAGAUAGUGUUUAGGCUGAGGGUCAUCGAUCCCAAGAAGAGAACGCAUAAACAUAAAGAAAACGAAGCCAUACAGUUUGAAUUCGAUAUGGAGAUGGACAGAUAUAUGACGAUUGCGGAGGAGAUGGCAAAGUCUGGAAUAAUAUUUGAAGAUGAUGCAAAAACUGUUGCACAAUUAUUGAAGACUCAAAUAACUCAAAUUACGAAGGAAAGAGAGAAGAAAACCAAAGAGGAAGAAGCUCUGGCUCAACAGUUGCAGUAUCAACAGUAUAUACAACAACAGGUGGAACAGCAAAUGUCUCAGCAACAACAACAACAGCAACAGGUGCAAGCCGCAGUGCCUCAACAGCCACCACAGCCUCAGCAGCAACCACAACAGCAGUCUCAACCUCAAACAAUGACGGGUUAUCCACAGCCGCAGCAGCCUCCGCAGUACACCCAACAGCAAUCUUAUCAGCCACAGAGCUACUCGCAAGGACAACCUGUUAUACAAACUAAUGAACAGCAACAGAUGCAGUAUCAGCAAGAACAACAACAACAAUACCAACAACAACAAAGUAUAGAGCAGCAAGCUCAACAACAGCAACAACAACAGGAACAGGUUCAGGCUAUGCAAAACCAGUAUAUCCAACAGCAACAACAACAGCAGGUACAACAGCAGGUACAACAGCAGGUACAACAGCAAGUACAACAGCAGCAACAACAACAGCCUCAACCAACGCAACAAAGUGAUGGAACAGUUAUUUAUCAACAACAGCAUCCGAUUAUGCAACAACCGGAGCAACAGCAAGUUUUUCAACAACCACAGCAGAUACCACAGGAUCAGCUUCAGAAUCCCCAAGUAAUACAGAGACAACCUUCUGUAGAGCCAGUGCAACAACAAACUAUUAUUCACAAACAGUCCGCUCCGACUCAUUUUGUACAGCAAAACUAUUUGGAAGGACAACCUCAACAGGCUGAGUACCUACAGGUGCAGGCUCAGCAACAACAACAGGAUACUCAUAAAAUAUCUAGUGUAUCCCAACCGGAGUUGCUUCACCCGGCUCCGCAACAUCAUGAACACAGACUUAGCGUUGAUAGUCAAAUGGAUAAAAUUCCACCAGGAAUUAUGCAAGAUCAGCAACAGUCUCUUGCGAAUUUCCAACAGACUUACCAACAACAACAGCACCAACAACAACAACAACAACAGCAGCAGCAGCCGACAUAUGCGCAAGUAGUGCAACACCAGCCCCCAAACUAUCAACAGCAACAGAGCUACCAACAAUCACCGGCGAGUUAUCCACCUCAGCAAACUUAUCAAACUCAAGACAGUCAAAAUUACCAACAGCAGAACUACCAGCAGCAACAAAGCUAUCAGCAAGGUCAACAGGAGCCCAUGAUGCAUAUUAUUCCUGGUACUAUGACUCAAAUUCCUCAGGAAAUGGGGCAGCAGUAUGUACAGCAACAACAGAGCUUUCCUCAACAACAGGCUCAACCACAAGCUACUUAUCAACAACAUGUACCACAACAGACUCAACAACCAACUUUCCAAACUCAACAGUCUUAUCAACAGAAUUAUCCUCAACAAACAACCGCUCAUCAACAGAGCAGUUAUCCGACACAACAGCAGCAGCAACCCCCUCAACAACCCACUUAUACUCAACAGCCGCAAGUUAAUUAUACACAGCAACCCCAACAGUCCUAUCAAGGACAACCGUAUCAACAACCAGAACAGCAACAAGUAUAUCAGCAACAGUAUGUCCAACCUCAAAAUAUCGAUCAUUCCCAACAGUAUAUUCAGCAACCAAUAGAACCUACUCAACAGUAUAUGCAACAGCAAAGUAUUGACCCUAAUCAACAGUAUAUGCAACAAAAGAUAGAGCCUACCCAGCAGUAUAUUCCCCAAAGUAUUGAUCCUUCACAACAAGUUCAAUCCAUGGAACAGACACAGCAACAGCCACCUCAGUAUAUUCCUCAGCAAGCGAGCCAGCAGCAGCCAAUACCACAGCAGGUAGUACAGAGCGAACCUACCAUGAGUGUCGGUACGCCUCCCAUGAACCUUGUAGAACUUCAGCAGAAAUUAGCACAACAGCACAUGCAGGCAACUAAACAACCAGAACAGCAUCGAAGUUCGACCGUUUCUUUACCUCCGAUGGCUACUUUCGAGACAUCAACAGACCAUAGGAGACUAUCGACUAUUUCUCAACCCGCUUCAGUACAGGAUUACAUACAGAGUUCGAUCCAACAGCAACAUAUUACUGAAGUACCUAGUCAAGAAUAUGUUCCUCCAGUCCAGGCAGCUCCAGUUCCGGUCUCACAGUACCAGGAAUCUCAACCACUAACCGUAGAAAACGUGAACGCCCUUCCAUCAUACCCGACCCCGUUGGAGACGAUCCUGUCAGUCGAAUCUCUCAGUCACAAACCAUCGCAGGAAGUCAUCAACGCCGUCCAAGACCUCGAUCUAAACGAGCAACAAGUAAGUCAAACUCGAGACAUCUCCUCGACUUCUUCAGACGAGAAGCCUAGGAGAAAACGAAGCUCUCUAAAGUACCAACUGAUCGUUGACAACGUUCAGCCCGACGGCAUCGUCGAAUGCCAGCUACUUUGCAAACAGAAAUCGGUUAGUUUUAAGUUUAACAGAUUCGAAACCAGGCCCUCGGACAUCAUCGAGAAGAUGAUCAAGCAGGAGGUGUUGGACGAGCCGCACAAAGAGCUGAAGGACCACUUGCAGGACGUUAUCGAUAAGCUUAAUGCGCAUCCGGAUAAAAUGUCUGAAGCUGGUAAAGUUAAACAGUGGACGUACGUGCAGAAGGUUAGGCAUGCCUCACUCACAAGGCACUCCCACAAAAAAACACAUCGAAGGCACAGAUCGAGGGACGACUCCAGCGGACAAACCUUUGUCAAAUCUAUGUACGUCGAUCCUUCACCUACCCACGAUGAGUUCCAUGGAAUGAAAACCAGUUUGUCGGAAAAUAUCUAUCAGAAUCUGAGAUGUCGUGAGAGCUUGAACUCCAGUGGAACAGUAUCUCGGAAGACGAGUACAGCUUCUGAGUACACACCAGAACAUACUUAUAUAGUUAAUAGAUCACCUGGUCAUGUUGAUCAAAAUACCGUCAACUAUCUUGCAGAGACAGCUAUUUCCCCUCCUAUAGACUUGCCGAUACAGCGUCCAAUCAUACCUACAGAUUUAGGAAACCAUAUGCUAAUCGGUAGUCCUCCUAGAGUGUUAGAUUCGGAUGGUAGUGAUCAUACUGACGCUUUCAAGGCUGAAUUAAAUGAUAGUUUGCUUCAGAAAGACACUAGUAAAUUUACUCCGAUUCCUGGACAAAAAGUCAACUUAAAGGUAUUCGUCAUGUCAGUAGAUCAAAAUUCAGAUGGUACAAAAGAUGAUUACGUAGAAUCUCCUAAAGAAAGAAUCAUAGAAGUGAAACUUGAAGACAAUAAAAAUGAAAAGUGUUUGACUCCUGACGUUGAUACAAAGAGUGAGAAGCUUAUGGAUCAAAGCCUAAAGCUUCCACCACAGAGAAAAAUUUCUAGAUUUUUGGUGAGUCCUGUAUUGUCUGGACAAUUGAAUCUUCCAAAAGAUAAAGAUUUUGGUACCGAGGUAGCGCCCAAACCCCAGAAUGUUCCUGAUGUUGUGCCACUAGUAGAAAAGCCAGUAGAGAUAAUUCAUCAAGCAACUGAAGUAAAAUCUGUUAUUCCCAGUAAUGUAAUCGCUUCCACAGAACCGUUAAGAAAGAACUCGGCUCCUCUAGAAACUACUAGAAAUAUGCUUGAGUUAGAGAAACCUGCAGAGCCAAAGAUAAGCGUAUGUUCCUUAAAAGAAGAAAGUAGUGCAGUAAAAGACGAUUCCGCUCAAAUGUGCGGUCCUGAACACAUAAAUACAUUAGAGCAGUUGAAAAUUAGUCUCGAUAAUCUAAAGCACAGCAGCCAUCCUAAGAAGGAUUCUGUAGAAUCUGAAACUAAAAAGGAAACUAAAAAGAUAUCUUCAAACAUCGAUGUUAGUGCAAAGGGAUCGACUGUAACAGCGCAAUCAUCUCCGUCUCAGUUUAUACCACAGACUGCUCAGAGCCAACCAUCGCAACAGCCGCUACAAACCCAACAGCAGCCAAUACAAUCAGCGCAACAGCCGCUACAACCUCCUCAGCAGCCACUACAACCUCCUCAGCAGCCGCUACAACCUCCGCAACAACCUUUACAACCUCCACAGCAGCAAUUACAGCCUCCACAGCAACCAUUACAACCUCCACAACAAUCGUUACAACCUUCACAACAAUCUCUUCAAACUCCCCAACAAAACUUUACUAUUUCAUCGCCACAGUCUCAGCAGACGUUACCUCCACCUCAACAAAUGUCAGCUUCUCAGAAUUUAUCCCAGCAGACGCCAACCCAGCAAACUUUAAUGCAACCUCAACAGUCGGUACCACAGCACCAACCAAGUUUAACUCCUAUGCAACAAUCUCAACAAUUACCAACGAGUCAACCGCCUCAACAGCAGCAGUCGUUACCGCAGUUGCCCCAACAGCAGCAGUCCUUACCGCAGUUGCCUCAACAGCAGCAAUCUUUACCGCAAUUAAAACAGCAGCAAUCCUUACAACAAUUGCCACCACAACAGCAACAAGCGACUUUACCUCCACAGCAACAACCGUUGCAACAGCAACCUCAAUUACAACAGAUAUCUCAACAACAGCAGUAUUCCCAGCACCAACUACCGCAGCAACAGCUACCUCAACAGCAGUUAUCGCAGCAACAGCUAUCGCAGCAACAGCUACCGCAGCAACAGCUACCGCAACAACAGAUGCCGCAGCAACAGCUGCCGCAGCAACAGCUGCCGCAGCAACAGAUACCGCAGCAACAGCUAUCGCAGCAAAAGCUGCCACAGCAACAGAUACCGCAGCAACAGUUGCCACAACAACAGAUACCGCAGCAACAGCUGCCACAGCAACAGCUGCCACAGCAACAGCCGCCACAGCAACAGCUACCGCAGCAACAGCUACCGCCGCAACAGCUAACGCAGCAACAGCUAGCGCAGCAACAGCUGCCGCAAAAACAGCUAUCGCAGCAGCAAAUGCUGCCUCCACAACAACAGCAACCUGUCCCGCAACCACAUUUAACUCAACAACUGUCUCAACAGCAGAUAAAUGUUCCACAACAGCAACUAUCUGCGCAGUCACAGAUACAACAGCCUCAGAUAUCUCAGCAACAACUACCGCCUCAGCAUCACCAACAGUUUUCUCAACAUUUGCCACAAACGCAGCAACAAAUUCCUCAUCCGGCAAGUCAGCCUCAGUCUGUUCUAGCUCAACAGGUUCCUUCUAUAUCGCAGCAACAAAACUAUGUACCUUCGUCGGUACCGCAACAGUACGUGCCUACUGCUACACACCCCAUGAAUAUUUCCCACAUUAGUUCUUCCAUGUCUCAACAAACGUCAUCUGUCAUGAGUGGUUCGGUACCAAGUCAGCCUGUAUCGAUGUCGAUGCCUCAACCAAUGUCAAGUAGUGUGCCACAUCAACACGAUAUUCCAAUAUCUAUACCACAGCCUCAUGUACUACCCACUAGCGCAACUACUACCAUAUCCCACGCCAUCAGCCAGUCAACCAUUCACCAGCAACAACCACCCCCUCAAAGUUACACUCAUCAACCAUCAUCAAUCCCUCCUCCCAUAUCUAAGCAUCUCGCCACGUCUCAGCCGAUGGUGAUAAACAUGAAUCAACCACCCAUCGACAUGCAGACGGUGUAUCAGCAACCGGUGUAUGCCGGCCAUGGCGGACACACAAUUUCUAGUUCUGUAUCUGUGCAGAAUUUCUCGUCGGCGGCGGGAGGACCACCUGUCGGCGGUUUCCAGCAUUCCAUGUCCAUCGACGACACUCUGCAAAACUAUGCUGCUGCUGUCAAGAAAGUGCCAGAGAAUCUCAACCAAAUAUUGGAAAGCUCCAGUAAAGUUAGUCAAACUCCAGCUUCGCAAGGUGAUGCCAAAUACGACGCGCAUCUGCAAAAUUUGCAACAAAAGUUGUGUGCUAUUCCUUCGUCUAGAACUUCACAAAAUAAUACUGCGCCAUCUAGCCCCCAACUGAUACUCGCUUCGCCAGAGUUCCCGCAAGAAAAUGUGCCUACUAAUGCAAACGUUAAUAUAAGCAAACUACAAAUAGAAUCAACCAGCAUCCCUAGUAGUGGAACGACCACAUCGGACGUACUGUCUCCAGUUGUAGAGCCAGAAAACACGCCAGUACUAAAUGCCGUCGUCGAAGACCCGCUUGUAGAACUCAAUAAUAAACUAAAACAGAUUAACGCUAGAUCUGAGCCAGUAGUAGAGAAAAAGGACUAUCCGCCUAACGUUCCUGACCUGGCUGCGAAUGAGAACCCACCCGUUGAACAGAUACCGCCUCAGAAAGAACGACGGAUUUCGAGGUUCCAAGUGAGCGUCGUUACCGAACCGGAGAAAAGUCAAAAGGCAGAAGAUGCCCAGCAGCACGAUAGGAAAGAUAGCACCGUUUCUAUAGACUCAGCUGAAGCUAAAAAAGAAGCUGAUUUCGCUACUGUUAUUAAUACCACUUUCGAUUCUUUGAAAACUACUUUAGUUAGAUCGUUGCCUACAGGAGGAACUGAAGAAGUAAAUUCUGAGGAAGAAGAACAAGUUUCCAAUAUCAAAGAGGAAACAUUCGAAGAAAUGCUGAAUCGCCAGAAGGCUGAACUAAAUGCUUUAAUGGAAGCUCACAGAAAGCAACAGUUAGAAUACAUGGGUAAAUAUAAAAGGCAGAAAGACGGAGAAAAUAGAUGAGUUUUAUUUUCUUUUUGUUUUUGUUACAGAGUUUCAUCGAAAAUUAACCGAAGAGAGUAAAAAACAUUGAAGAGGAUCAACAGAUUAAAGUGAGAAUGUAAGGCUGUAUAAUAAAUAAUUAUUAUUGUUUAUAUUGUAUUAUAUUUUAAAGAAGUCCUAGAUAUUAAUUACAAUGAUUGCUGAUAAUUUAUUUUUAAUAUCUCCUGUUAUUCCUAGUUUUGUUUUAUUUAUUUUAGAAAGUGACAGCAGUAAUAAAGUCUUGUACGGAAGAUAAGGAUAGAAAAUGUUUUCCUUAUCCUCCACAGAUUAUUCCUAUAUUAUAUUCAUGUAUAAUUUUUCUUUGGAAUCAAUAUAAAAUUGUUAUUAUUUUUA